UACGAAGGGUGCAAGCGUUGUUCGGAAUUACUGGGCGUAAAGGGUUCGUAGGCGGAAAGACAAGUCAAGUAUGAAAUCCCCGAGCUUAACUUGGGAGUGGUGCUUGAAACUGUUUUUCUUGAGUUUUAGAGAGGGUGGUGGAAUUGCUGGUGUAGGAGUGACAUCCGUAGAGAUCAGCAGGAACGCCGGAGGCGAAAGCGGCCACCUGGCUAAGGACUGACGCUGAGGAACGAAAGCGUGGGGAGCAAACAGG
rnacentral:rRNA from 1 species